GAUGAACGCUAGCUACAGGCUUAACACAUGCAAGUCGAGGGGCAGCAUGUCGGUUGCUUGCAACCGAUGAUGGCGACCGGCGCACGGGUGAGUAACGCGUAUCCAACCUACCCUUGUCCAUCGGAUAACCCGUCGAAAGGCGGCCUAACACGAUAUGCGGUUCACAGCAGGCAUCUAACGUGAACGAAAUGUGAAGGAGAAGGAUGGGGAUGCGUCUGAUUAGCUUGUUGGCGGGGUAACGGCCCACCUAGGCUACGAUCAGUAGGGGUUCUGAGAGGAAGGUCCCCCACAUUGGAACUGAGACACGGUCCAAACUCCUACGGGAGGCAGCAGUGAGGAAUAUUGGUCAAUGGACGAGAGUCUGAGCCAGCCAAGUAGCGUGCAGGAUGACGGCCCUAUGGGUUGUAAACUGCUUUUAUAGGGGGAUAAAGUGUGCCACGUGUGGCAUAUUGCAGGUACCCUAUGAAUAAGGACCGGCUAAUUCCGUGCCAGCCGCCGCAGUAAUAC
rnacentral:rRNA from 1 species